GGCGGUGUAGCUCAGCGGUAGAGCAGGAGAAUCAUAAUCUCUGGGUCCGAGGUUCGAAUCCUCGCACCGCCACAA
rnacentral:tRNA from 1 species